UACGGGGGGGCGAAGCGUUGUUCGGUAAUUACUGGGCGUAAAGGGCGCGUAGGCGGCCUUCUAAGUCGGGACGUGAAAUCCCUCGGCCUUAACCGAGGAACUGCGUCCGAUACUGAAAGGCUUGAAUCCGGGAGAGGGAUGUGGAAUUCCAGGUGUAGCGGUGAAAUGACGUAGAUAUCUGGAGGAACACCGGUGGCGAAGGCGGCAUCCUGGACCGGCAUUGACGCUGAGGCGCGGAAAAGCUAGGGGAGCAAACGGGG
rnacentral:rRNA from 1 species